rnacentral:lncRNA from 1 species
AAUGCCAGGUUUUGGCACGUUUAGUUUUCCCGCCUAAGCACACAAUGUUUUAUCCAGUAUGCAAUUCUAAUCAGUAUUAUCUGCUGUAUUAUGAUUCUUGAGGGAAAUGACUACUUGAAUAAAAUUGCAUCAUCAUUUAUUGCCCAUUCUCUUUCUCUCUCUCUUUACAUUUCUCUUCCUUCUUUCUCUACAAUAUUCAUGUCUCUUUCUCUUCUUAUUAACCACUGUGAUUUCUACCGCUGGCGGCGACAGCAGCAGCACCAUCGUGCUCUCCUUCCUCUCCUGCUUCAUCUGACAGCCGCGCUCAUCCAGAUCGCCGUCGUGUAGCCUCCGCCUCCAUCGACGAGCAACAGCAACCAUUGUGCCCCCGCCGCCGACAAUGUCUCUAUCUUUCCCCGUGUGCUUGAUUUUAUCCUUAUUUGGUGAUUUUCAUUUAUAUGUUCAAUUUUACUUCAUUAAAUUCUUUAAUUUUCUCUGCUUCAUUUUUAUUGUGACUUGCUUUGUGAUUCAGGACUGCGGUUCUCAUUUUUGUCUGUGGGCUUCAUUUUCUUGCCCUUGAAUUCAAUUUGGCAGAUCUGAUUCUUGAACUAGGGCUUCGAUACAACACUAUAUUUUGUGAUUCAGGAGUGCGG